UUGUAAUUUGUAGAGGAUGCUUUUGGUGCGGUGCCUUCCGAGUUCCCUGGAACGGGACGCCUUAGAGGGUGAGAGCCCCGUACGGUUGGACGCCUAGCCUCUGUAAANNCUCCUUCGACGAGUCGAGUAGUUUGGGAAUGCUGCUCAAAAUGGGAGGUAAAUUUCUUCUAAAGCUAAAUACCGGCCAGAGACCGAUAGCGCACAAGUAGAGUGAUCGAAAGAUGAAAAGCACUUUGAAAAGAGGGUUAAAUAGCACGUGAAAUUGUUGAAAGGGAAGCGUUUAUGACCAGACUUUUUCCAGGCGGAUCAUCCGGUGUUCUCACCGGUGCACUUCGCCUGGUUUAGGCCAGCAUCGGUUUUCGUAGGGGGAUAAAAGCUUUGGGAACGUGGCUCUUCGGAGUGUUAUAGCCCAUUGUAUAAUACCCUUAUGGGGACCGAGGUACGCGCUCUGCAAG
rnacentral:rRNA from 1 species